rnacentral:siRNA from 1 species
UUGUAGCCGAAAUUGGAUGCC